rnacentral:lncRNA from 1 species
UUCACAGAAACCCAAUCAUCAGCAAAGAGGAAAACACACGCAAAAACAUCACGCAUACUCACAGAUACAUUGCACACAUGCUUAAUCGAUUACCAAGUAAUUCGUCCAAAUGUUUCUUGGUGACAAAACUCGGGGGACUGAUGCCACACAACCCAGCUGACUCACACCGGAGGACGGAGAAUCCCGGGCCGAGGGGCAGUGACUAUAUUUCCCAUGGAAAACUCCAGAAACAUCUCAAAGCCCUCUUUCUCUCUCACACCCCUGCUGAAAAAAAAAGCUAG